GUGAAGGCUGGAAGUAAGGUUAAGGGCAAUGUAAUUAAUGUUGCUCCAACUUGGGACAUGAGAUCGAAAUCUCAAUUAAACUGUUUAUCGGCUGUCUCAUCCUUCAAACCGGUAAAACUCCUUCGAGUCAGAAAGACCCGGGUAUGUGCCGGCCCGUUGUUAAAAUUAUCAGUGAUUGCCGUUGUCCAUUCUCAGGUCAAUCCCUUAGAAAGAGAGAGUAUUCUUUAUUGUAUACCAAAAAACAAAUAAACAGUGCGAUACAUUAAACACAAAAAGUACAAUUGGCGGUCUUAUCGCUAAGAGCGAUCUCUUCCAGACAACCAUCAGGUGGACAAGAAUCAUUUGAAAACGAACUACUUAGUGGACUUUUACGAUACUUGUGGGAAGGAGGAGUGAUGACUUUUACCGGCGGCCACCAUAUUGGUAAAGUGGUUAAUGAUUCUCUUACCACGGUAUCCGGAUACGAUUUGAAGAAGAAUGAAGAACCCUUGAAUUCUUGACCUUUGUCAAGAACAAGACAAGACAAAGACAAAGGUCUAGUCAUAGCUCUAGUUUAGAGCCAAGCAAGAUUCCAUUGUGGACCUUUAAACACCUGGAGUAUUUGAACUCCUGGAAACGUUAUGAAAAUCCUCUAACUUUUGCAGUAUGUACAUACAAAUAAACUAUCCGGACAAAG